rnacentral:rRNA from 1 species
UACGGGGGGUACGAGCGUUGUCCGGAAUCACUGGGCGUAAAGGGCGCGUAGGUGGUUUGAUAAGGGUGUGGUGAAAGUCCGGAGCUCAACUCCGGAUCUGCCGUGCCGACUGUCAAACUCGAGGGCUGUAGAGGCAGACGGAAUUCCGGGUGUAGCGGUGGAAUGCGUAGAGAUCCGGAGGAAGACCGGUGGCGAAGGCGGUCUGCUGGGCAGUUUCUGACACUGAGGCGCGACAGCGUGGGGAGCAAACAGG